CUACGGGAGGCAGCAGUGGGGAAUAUUGGGCAAUGGGGGAAACCCUGACCCAGCAACGCCGCGUGAAGGAAGAAGGCCCUCGGGUUGUAAACUUCUUUUAGCAGGGACGGAGGACGUGACGGUACCUGCAGAAAAAGCAACGGCUAACUACGUGCCAGCAGCCGC
rnacentral:rRNA from 1 species